rnacentral:misc_RNA from 1 species
UCUCCGUUGGUGAACCAGCGGAGGGAUCAUUGCCGAGUUUACAACUCCCAAACCCCUGUGAACAUACCAUUUGUUGCCUCGGCGGUGCCUGCUUCGGCAGCCCGCCAGAGGACCCAAACCCUUGAUUUUAUACAGUAUCUUCUGAGUAAAUGAUUAAAUAAAUCAAAACUUUCAACAACGGAUCUCUUGGUUCUG